rnacentral:lncRNA from 1 species
UCGGAUCGUCGAUCGGACUCCGGCGGCUGGAGGCGAGUCAACCGAGCGAUCGAGCGUCUCGGUAAUUUUCUUUGGCCUGUUAAUUUUAGAAAUUCUUGGUUUAAUUGUGUCUAUUGGAUUAUAUUGUGUAUUUGAUGGUAUUUGUGGGUCAAAAAUAAUUGUCUGUCAGUUGCCUGCCCUGUGUUUUGUGCUGUGUGGCGGAGUUGGGAAAUAGUGAAGUUUGGGGACCCAACUCCCGUUGUUUUAAUUGUAAGUAUUUGGAGUGUUUUUCUGGCAGGUCCUGGACCCGUUUUUACGGGGGGUAAUGUUCGUGUUGUAGGGGAGGUUCUGCCAGAUUUUCGGUAGAAUUCUCCCGAGUCGAGAUUCUUAGACAGUCAAUCCUAGGAAUCUAGACCUAGGAUCUAUUGUAAUUGUUUCAUCGUUUUGAUAAAUUAUUUUCCGUGAUUAGAUGAUUUGUCUGUUCGGCUCGCUCCAACCGAGGCACCGGAGCUGAGCUAGGAGGUCGCCAAACCUGUGAGUUAAAGUCAUAUAUCGUUUACGCACGUGUCAUGCAUAAAAUUUGAUUUGCUAGUGUGAAUAUUUAUUUGCAAUUUUAAUUUUUCAUUCAAUUAUUAUUAUUAUCAUUUGCAUGAUGCUUUUAAUUACUAUUUAAAUAUGUUUUUCCUUUAUUACCAAUUUUAAUAUUGCAUGAUGACUCAGGAUGGGACGGCAGUAGAACAUAGGAGUUGGAUGAGUGUCCAAUAUAAUAUGAGAGAGAUAGGAAAAGGGUAAAAAGGUAAAAAUUUUAAGAAAGAAAGAUUAGGACCUGCCCUGGUCGAGCAUCGUCUCUGGGCUUAGUAGAGUGUGGUUGCCGGAGUAAAGGUCCCUGGUCGAGCAUUGCUCUCGGGGCGCCAGCUUAUUUGGAUAUUUAAGUGACCAGACUAGAGGUAAGGUCCCUGGUCGAGCUUUGCUCUCGGGGCGCCAGUCUUAUUGGAUUAAGAGAGUCGAAUGGCUAUUAGAUUU